rnacentral:rRNA from 1 species
AUGCUAGCCACUAUUCCACUCCAUGGUGGUUCAGAAAUUGCACUACUGGAUAGGAGUACAAGCUACACUGCGGCCAAAGGAAGAUUAAUUGCUCUUGAAGUGAAGUUGGGAGAAUCUACUCUUCCAUUUCUACGAACGCGGGUCGAUUACGAUGAGUCAUCUCACAAGCCAUACAUGUCGUCGUCAGACCAGGGAAGGGAAGGGAUCACAUCAGCUUCACCGCGGAAGGAGGAGUGCCGAGCUCUGAGGGCCUCAUGGCAGGCCGCCUUAUCUGCCACGCAGCACGCCCGGUGGGCCCCACGGAGGCCCUGCCCGUUGGCCGCCAUGGCUCCUAUAUAG